rnacentral:lncRNA from 1 species
CAGAGGUAUGAUUUCUCAUUCCCACUGAGCAUUUAUUAUAGUAGUAAGAAGGUAAAUUCCUUAUCCAGUAGAUAUUAUAACUUAAACAUGAUACUAUCCAAAACAUAUGGUAGAAUCCCAUAAGGAUCGACUAGGAUUUACAUAAUCACAUUCCUAACUAAAUUAAGACUGCAACACUCUCCCUUGAGCGUGUAUAUAUUACUAAGUAAAUGGUGCAUCACGUCUUCAACGAUGAACUAAGUUCAGUUGAUGAAGUUGUCGACUCAAUUAGCGAAUGUAAGUCUCAAAUUAACGAGAGAAUGCAUAAAAAUGUAAAACUCUCAAAACCUCACUAUGGUAAAACUCAGUAUAGGAGAAAAACCCAUGGACUAAGGAAAAACGUGAGAAGUUUGUAUUAAGUUAAAACUAUUGUACUAAGUCAAAACUAUACGCCAUCUAGAUGAAAGCACAAUGCUCACAAAGGUAUGACCAUCCCAGGAUGGGUGUCUCGUUAAAAUCUAGUUAGGUAACAAAAACCCAGUGGGAAAAAUGCUUAUAAUCGUAGGAAAAGAGUACAUUAAGAUCAAAUGAGUAUACUUCUGAAUACUCCAUUGAGUUUGACAAAACUUCCAAAUGAGAAUCGCAAGCAUCGCAAAUAAAUAGUUAUGCGUACCAAUUCCUCGGACAAGCUUCUGGAAGGUAGCCUUCGGCAAUGACAUCGUGAAGAGGUCGGCAAGAGUGUUUGGAAUCAGAUUGCUUUAAUUUCCUGAUGGGUUGCUGAUGUGAUGUAGACGCAAUAUGUCU